AAGUCGUAACAAGGUUUCCGUAGGUGAACCUGCGGAAGGAUCAUUACUGUGUUGAAGAGACUUCGGUUUCUGAAACCCGUCCUCAUGUCAUUUAAGUUCCGCGAUGCAAAUCGCUCGAACUCAUUGUUAUUUCGGCCGAAGCGUUUAGGUACUGGGCGGUUGAGCAAUCUACCAAGCAGGCCCGAACCGCGGUCGGUGGCCGUAAGGCCAACGCCUUUUACUCUUUGCAAUACUUUUGAAGUCUGAGCGAUAUGAUAAAUGAAAAGCAAAACUUUCAACAACGGAUCUCUUGGCUCUG
rnacentral:misc_RNA from 1 species